rnacentral:rRNA from 1 species
GUACGUAAGUUGUUGCAGUUAAAAAGCUCGUAGUUGGAUCUCAGGCUUGUGGCCGGUGGUCCGCUCGAUACGGGUGUGCACUGCCGUGUCCGGCCUACGUCUGGUCUAACGUCCAUAGUGCCCUUAACCGGGUGCUAUGGAAUGCCAGAAAGUUUACUCUGAAAAAAUUAGAGUGCUCAAAGCAAGCCGUUUGUGCUUGAAUACUGUUGCAUGGAAUAAUGGAAUAGGACCUCGGUUCUAUUUUGUUGGUUUUCGGAGUCGAGGUAAUGAUUAAGAGGGACAGACGGGGGCAUUCGUAUUGCGCCGUUAGAGGUGAAAUUCUUGGAUCGGCGCAAGACGAACAACUGCGAAAGCAUUUGCCAAGGAUGUUUUCAUUAAUCAAGGACGAAAGUCAGAGGUUCGAAGACGAUCAGAUACCGUCGUAGUUCUGACCAUAAACGAUGCCAACUGGCGAUCCGCCGCAGUCUGGCUUAAAGGACUCGGCGGGCAGCCUCCGGGAAACCUAAGUCUAUGGGUUCCGGGGGAAGUAUGGUUGCAAAGCUGAAACUUAAAGGAAUUGACGGAAGGGCACCACCAGGAGUGGAGCCUGCGGCUUAAUUUGACUCAACACGGGAAAACUCACCCGGCCAGGACACCGU